CUUCCCCAACCCAAAAUGAUGCUGGGUAAGUCUGUUGGGCUGCAGGGUGAAGAGUUUCUGCAGAGGAGAGGAUGACUGGGGGAAGAGGAGUUGCUUAGGGUAUGGAUUAAGGCCUUGCAAGAGUCUGGAGGGGAGGCUGCUGUGGGGUUCCAGCAUCCUUGCCUGGUUUGGAAAACAGCUGGUUAGCUGACAAGGGAAUCUGACUGCAUCAAGCA
rnacentral:lncRNA from 1 species